CUAGCUCAAACCGGGGACGACUGAACCCGCGUAAUCGUGAAUAGUCGAAACUCGAGAAGUUCUUUCUUCAAAAGAAAAACCCAGUUUUCAUUUCUGUAUAUUAUUCCUUAAAUAGCGAGAAAUUUUCAUUCUUGUUUUAGAUCCAAUUCCAUUUCCAUUGAUCGCAUAAACCCCAUUCCAUAGCUCUCAAAAACAUCAUAGAAAGGAGUCAAAAUGGGUUGGAUUAGAGAGACAAUCGAGUCUUUCAAAUCCAUAAAAAUCAGAAAGGCUCUAUCUCAGGCCAUUAGUUUUGGUUUGAUUAUUUCGUUUGCAUUGAUGAUUUGGAAAGCAUUGAUGUGCUGGACAGGCAGUAUGUCACCUGUGGUGGUUGUACUCACUGGAAGUAUGGAACCUGGUUUUGCUAGGGGCGACAUUCUCUUCCUCCACAUGAACAAAGGUCCAAUUCGUGCAGGGGAGAUCGUCGUGUAUAACGUCGAGGGACGCGACAUUCCAAUUGUCCAUCGUGUAAUUAAGGUUCACGAGACAAGAGAUACGGGAGAAGUUUAUUUUCUUACAAAAGGUGACAGUAAUGAGUUUGAUGAUAUUCCACUGUAUGCUGAGAAUCAGCUUUGGUUGGAAAGACAACAUAUAAUGGGAAAAGCCAUCGGGUAAAUUCGCAAGAAUUUCUUGCCGUAUGUUGGAUAUGCAACAAUUAUCAUGACAGACAUGCCUAUAAUCAAGUACAUACUUAUUGGUGUAUUGGGAUUGCUGGUCUUAACCUCUAAUGAUUAGGGAAUGAAAAUUUCUGUACUCUUAAUUUAUACCUAAUAUAAAGGAUAGGAAGAGUUAUGAGAGGGCAAGGCCUGAUUAUUCUUUCUAUUGUAAGGAAUAAUUUAUUUAGGCUGUGGAAAUGAAAUAUAGAACUCAACAUUCAAUCACUUGGGCCAUGUCUAAUUUACAUUCUCAUCCAUUGACAAUAUUACAUGUAAUAAAAAUAGCUCAAAUGCUCUCAAA